rnacentral:rRNA from 1 species
CGCUAGCGGCAGGCUUAACACAUGCAAGUCGAGGGGUAUAGUUCUUCGGAAUUAGAGACCGGCGCACGGGUGCGUAACGCGUAUGCAAUCUACCUUUCACAGAGGGAUAGCCCAGAGAAAUUUGGAUUAAUACCUCAUAGUAUAGCAGUUUCGCAUGAAACCACUAUUAAAGUUCCAACGGUGAAAGAUGAGCAUGCGUCCCAUUAGCUAGAUGGUAAGGUAACGGCUUACCAUGGCUACGAUGGGCAGGGGUCCUGAGAGGGAGAUCCCCCACACUGGUACUGAGACACGGACCAGACUCCUACGGGAGGCAGCAGUGAGGAAUAUUGGUCAAUGGACGCAAGUCUGAACCAGCCAUGCCGCGUGCAGGAUGACGGUCCUAUGGAUUGUAAACUGCUUUUGUACGAGAAGAAACAACAUUACGUGUAAUGUCUUGACGGUAUCGUAAGAAUAAGGAUCGGCUAACUCCGUG